AGAUUGAACGCUGGCGGCAGGCCUAACACAUGCAAGUCGAGCGGUAGAGAGGUGCUUGCACCUCUUGAGAGCGGCGGACGGGUGAGUAAUGCCUAGGAAUCUGCCUAGUGGUGGGGGAUAACGUUCGGAAACGGACGCUAAUACCGCAUACGUCCUACGGGAGAAAGCGGGGACCUUCGGGCCUCGCGCCAUUAGAUGAGCCUAGGUCGGAUUAGCUAGUUGGUGAGGUAAUGGCUCACCGAAGCGACGAUCCGUAACUGGUCUGAGAGGAUGAUC
rnacentral:rRNA from 1 species